UUGUGCCAUCGGGAACGCGGCGAAGAUCAAAGCAUCUAGCCGCUCGCUUAUUAAGAUAUUUCGUCUUGUGUACGUGCUUACUCUGGGGGGAGUUUGGAAUUAAAAAAAAAAUGGUCGAAGAAUAAAAACCCUCUUCAAGAAUAAUAGGUGGAUAGGUUCCGGGAAUAAUGGGUACAAAGAAGAAGAAGAGAAAGUCAAAAUGAAAGCAGGUUAUGAAGCACACAAACCGGAGCAUAGACAUCAAAUAAGGAACUUCUCGUUAAAUAAGCCAACUUUUUCGGUAACAUCAUCAAUCAAAUAAGCGUUUUAAACUUCUCUUAGGAACGAACAGAAUCAAAAUGUUUGACCACUCCAGUAUGCUCCUUCACAAUUUGUACAAAAUUAAAAGAUAAUCACAAGGAGAGCAGGAAGAAAUCGUCUACCGUGAAGUAAAUUUUUGAGAGUGAUAAUUCAAGUGCUUCAACAAACUUACUUAGUGAAGUCUGUUAAACACACCGAUUGCAAUUUUCAAGUGUCUAUUGCUAAUUAUGAUGAGUUUAAUCUUACUCGAGUUGAGUGAGAGAGGGCAUCCCUAUCACAUCUGAGAGAAGUAUAGCCAUCCAGAUCUAGUCUACUCAAUCAUAAAACAGAUCUAUCUGCAUGCUUUGAAAAUUUUCGUGUAUACCACAUCAUGUCAGGAAUUUACGUAUAAUUGUUAGAUCAAAAUAUCUUAUAAUUUUCAUUAUUACUUCAAAAACCAUGUCAUUAAUUUAUCGUGUAUGAAAUGAUUAUUGUUUUGUUAAGUAACAGUAAAACUCCCUAUUAUUAAGAUAAUAGAUAGAUACGAAGAUAUGAUGAUUAUAUAAACUUGAAGUGAA